GAUGAACGCUGGCGGCGUGCCUAAUACAUGCAAGUCGAGCGAACAGACGAGGAGCUUGCUCCUCUGACGUUAGCAACGGACGGGUGAGUAACACGUAGAUAACCUACCUAUAAGACUGAGGUAACUUCGGGAAACCGGAGCUCAUACCGGAUAAUAUCUUGAACCGCAUGGUUCAAUAGUGAAAGACGGUUUUGCUGUCACUUAUAGAUGGAUCCGCGUCGCAUUAGCUAGUUGGUAAGGUAACGGCUUACCAAGUCAACGAUGCGUAGCCGACCUGAGAGGGUGAUCGGCCACACUGGAAGUGAGACACGGUCCAGACUCCUACGGGAGGCAGCAGUAGGGAAUCUUCCGCAAUGGGCGAAAGCCUGACGGAGCAACGCCGAGUGAGUGAUGAAGGUCUUCGGAUCGUAAAACUCUGUUAUUAGGGAAGAACAAAUGUGUAAGUAACUAUGCACGUCUUGACGGUACCUAAACAGAAAGCCACGGCUAACUACGUG
rnacentral:rRNA from 1 species